rnacentral:rRNA from 1 species
GACGAACGCUGGCGGCGUGCUUAACACAUGCAAGUCGAGCGAUGAAGUUCCUUCGGGAAUGGAUUAGCGGCGGACGGGUGAGUAACACGUGGGUAACCUGCCUCAUAGAGGGGAAUAGCCUUUCGAAAGGAAGAUUAAUACCGCAUAAGAUUGUAGUACCGCAUGGUGCAGCAAUUAAAGGAGUAAUCCGCUAUGAGAUGGACCCGCGUCGCAUUAGUUAGUUGGUGAGGUAAUGGCUCACCAAGGCGACGAUGCGUAGCCGACCUGAGAGGGUGAUCGGCCACAUUGGAACUAAGACACGGUCCAGACUCCUACGGGAGGCAGCAGUGGGGAAUAUUGCGCAAUGGGGGAAACCCUGACGCAGCAACGCCGCGUGAGCGAUGAAGGCCUUCGGGUUGUAAAGCUCUGUCUUUGGGGACGAUAAUGACGGUACCCAAGGAGGAAGCCACGGCUAACUACGUGCCAGCCGCCGCAGUAAAAC